CGAGAGGGCUAAACAAGCUAUUCAUCAGCUCAUGUUAAAUCAGAAAGCAUUGAGAAUGGUAUCAGUGUGGUCUAAGUUAACGGGCCACUACAAUGGUUCAUCUGUUCUUUACUUCUAUCUAAACAAACCUUAGGCAUCCUUAAGUGAUCACCAUUGGUCAAUCCAGGUUGCUAACUGGGGCACAGCCAUCUGAGUCAUGUUUUUAAUUUGAAAUCAUUGGGAAAAGACUGAAAGAAAAUGGGCACAUGGUUAUGUUAAUAGUUGAAGGUACUUCUUUCUGAAAGCAUGCAUACAAAAGACCAGCAGGAUGCUACUCCAGCAUGUGAGUACGUGUAUAUCUCAGAAGAU